ACCUAGGUGGUGAAACGGUAGACACAGAGCACUGUUAAUGCUCCGAUUAAUUUCAUGAAGGUUCGAAUCCUUCCCUAGGUGCCA
rnacentral:tRNA from 1 species